rnacentral:lncRNA from 1 species
AGGUGCAGCGGCGUCUGUGGUUCUCCAAGUGUGAUAUUCGGGUGUGUAAUCAGCUGGGGAAGUUGGGCUACCAAUGUAAUGCCAAUGGGGCCUUCCUAUGGGAAGAUGAUGUAGCUGAACAGGUCGCUGUUGUUGAAAUGGGCGAAUUGCCCAACUUGUCCGCGUAAUAAAGCUAUACUUUACCCCAAAAAAAUGAUUUUCCUAUCUAGUGGAGCUUGGAGACCAGCUAGCACGUUGUCUACUUGAU